CUUUCCUCCGGGAGGCCGCCGUGGGGCAUCUUGCACAAUGGGGGCCACCCUGCUGCCGCCCCGCCUCUUGCGUUAUGACGGCCUUCGGGUUGUAAAGCUCUGUCUUCAGGGACGAUAAUGACGGUACCUGAGGAGGAAGCCACGGCUAACUACGUGCCAGCAGCCGCGGUAAUACGUAGGUGGCGAGCGUUGUCCGGAUUUACUGGGCGCAAAGGGAGCGUAGGCGGACUUUUAAGUGAGAUGUGAAAUACUCGGG
rnacentral:rRNA from 1 species